AUUAGGCAGCAAAUGGAUCCAUGAGCAGGCUAUAGUUAUAGUGCUACAAGCUUUAGCUUCAAGGAUCAAGUAGCUAUGGAAUUGGCCACGAAAUUUCACCUUUGAAAUUUCAUCCCUUAGUUCUUUCGUCUCCUGAAGAUGAGGUGAAUCUAUCAUUGGGAUUUCUUGUGCUUUUUUGGCCUUUCGCUCAGAUAUCCAGUAGAUAACAGUCGCUCUCUUCUCGAGAUUGUUUUGUGUCUUCCACAAAUCGUCCAAAGAAAAAAUAUAUUUUCUUUCCUUUGCUUUCCUUCACUUGCACUUUUUGCACAUUGUCUCCUGUCUUUUUUUCUUUCUUUCUUGUUCCUUCUCAAUUCUUUGGUAUUCUCUUUGAUAAUUGAUUCGUCCAUUUCUAGCUAUUCAGGUGAAAAAAGAUGCAUACUACCCACCAGCAUCUCCUUCCUUGUUUGCAUUGCCACCCAAAUAGCUAUAUUAGGAUGGUAAGUUCUAAAACCCUCUCCAUCUCCUUCCCUAAAAUCGCAACCAGUGAUCACUUGUGUGCUUAUGCAUGCAUACACAUACAAAACAGGCUCACCAUCUUAUAGAGAGAUGCUUGCUUCUUCACAUGAGCAGAGACCAAUGCAUUAAGGCACUAGCAGAACAUGCCAAUAUUCGUCCUCUUGUUACACUUGCGGGUCUCUUUUUUUCUCUCUGACCAAGUUAAUGUCAUUCUUGUUCACUGUUCAGAGGACUCUAACCAGUGAGUUAUUAUAUAUACAUGCCUGCAGUGUGGAGAGAAUUAGAGAAAGAAAACAAGGACUUCUUUCAAGCAUAUUUCCGUUCUUAAUCCAGACCUUUCCCAAAUAGAUCUACUCAAAGGGUGCCCAGAUUGGCAAGAAGGAAAUAGUGGAAUUGAAGUAAAAUGAGAAUAUAUAUAUAUAUAUAUAUAGGGAGAUUUUGUAGCCAUACUAUAUAUGUUUUUCAUAAGCAUCUUCUGUCUAUCCCAUAUGUCCCUCCAGGUGCAGGUUUAA